UAGGGAAUCUUCCGCAAUGGGCGAAAGCCUGACGGAGCAACGCCGCGUGAGUGAUGAAGGUCUUCGGAUCGUAAAACUCUGUUAUUAGGGAAGAACAAAUGUGUAAGUAACUAUGCACGUCUUGACGGUACCUAAUCAGAAAGCCACGGCUAACUACGUGCCAGCAGCCGCGGUAAUACGUAGGUGGCAAGCGUUAUCCGGAAUUAUUGGGCGUAAAGCGGGCGUAGGCGGUUUUUUAAGUCUGAUGUGAAAGCCCACGGCUCAACCGUGGAGGGUCAGUGGAAACUGGAAAGCUUGAGUGCAGAAGAGGAAAGUGGAAUUCCAUGUGUAGCGGUGAAAUGCGCAGGGAUAUGGAGGAAAACCAGUGGCGAAGGCGACUUUCUGGUCUGUAACUGACGCUGAUGUGCGAAAGCGGGGGGAUCAAACAGG
rnacentral:rRNA from 1 species